rnacentral:rRNA from 1 species
AUGUCUUCAUCCUCCGGCGCAGCUCAACCUAGCCUCAAUGGCCAGGUCACCGAGAAGCUCAACCGCACGAACUACGUGCUAUGGCGCACGCAGGUCACACCCCACCUGCGGGGCGCCGGUGUCUUCGGCUACAUCGACGGCACCGCGUCGGAGCCGGCUAGACUCCACGUCAUCAAGGACAAGGACGACAAGGAGUCUUCUGAGCCCAACCCUUUCCACCCACUUUGGGUCCGGGAGGAUCAACAGGUGCUUGGCUAUCUGCUGAGUACCCUCUCCAAGGAGGUGCUGGUCGCGGUCACCGCGAUCACCACGGCACGCGAACUCUGGGUGGCACUGGCAGGCAUGUUCUCGGCCCAGUCACUCAGCCGCGUCAACAACAUCAGGACUGCGCUCAUCAACACGCAGAAGGGCAACCGGUCGGUCGCCUCCUACUUCGCCUCCCUCCGCGGCCUCGCUGAUGAACUCGCUGCCGCCGGCAAGCCUAUCCAGGAUGACGAAUUAAUCUCGUACAUCCUCCACGGCCUCGACGUCGACUACCAGCCGCUCGUCUCCGCCCUCGAUGCCCGCGUCACGCCCGUCACCAUCGACGAGCUCUACGCCAUGCUGAGUAACUUUGAUCAGCGCAUGGCUCGGUUCCCUCCUCCGGCGGCUUCAAGUCCUCUGCCAACGCCGCAUCUCGUGGCCGUGGUGGUGGCCCUCGCUCGUGUGGAUCUCCCCGCAACAAGGGGCGGUCAGGAAGCAACAGCAAUGGCGGCUCCAGCAACUCUCGCAACGGGCGCCCACCAACUCCAAGCCUCAUCGUGGCGGCGGCUCCAACAUGUCUCGCCCUGA